GAGAAUUGUGCAGGCAUUGAGAUCUAGGAGAGUUAAAGCUCUCGUUGCUGUUAAUGAACUCACACUUGAUCGGAAGGAUAAACAGCGGUCAGCGAGGAAACUGUCCAGGUUGCUGAGCAGCUUAGCCAUCCUUCUGAGAAUCUGGAGUGUCCAGUGUUUAAACUUGACUGAAUACAAGAUUCAUUCUGUUUCUCUAUUGGUCCUACUGUGUCCAUGAGGGACCAGUGAUUCUCAGACCAUCAAAGGAGACUCUCCAGAAGCUGGUUGAAUGUGUCCAUAAAGCUCAAGAAGAGGAACUGACUCAGUGCUUCCUGCAGAAAGUGGGUGGAGAUCUGACUUCCUGUUCCUUAAACUGGGAAGAGCUGCACUAUUUCCUGCUGCACAGCAUUGACCAAAUCACUCUACACCUUAGAAAGAGCAACAUUCAAUGCAACAUAAGAGAAAUUCUGCCAUUCCUGAACAGGAUCAAGUUUAAAACGGAUGAGCUCUAGCUUCAUGCUGUCUGUAAACAGAGAGAUCUAUGAGUCCGGCUCUGUUGGUUUUGUGUCCAGUCUGUUGAGUUCAGUGAAGAACUACAUUAACCUGCAGAGCAGAGAACUGGACUCUGUUCACUGUGCA